rnacentral:tRNA from 1 species
UUGGGGAUUAGCUCAGUUGGUAGAGCGCUCGACCGAUAAUCGAGAGGUCACUGGUUCAAGUCCAGUAUCCCCAACCAC